CCUCGUCUAAUCGUCCUCGCUCAUUCGUCGAAAGUCCCGCCCCUCUCACUGUGCGGCAAGGCCGCGGCGGAGACUGGCCGGGCCUCUCACUUCCGGGCGCCUGAACGCCCCGCCUCACCCCGGCGGCCCAGAGCCACCAUGGAGCGGCAGGUGCUGCUGAACGAGCCCGAAGAGGCGGCGGCGCUGUACCGGGACCUUAGCCGCCAGCCCGCGCUGAGCGCCGCCUGCCUGGGCCCGGAGGUCACCACGCAGUACGGGGGUUGUUACCGGACGGUGCACACUGAGUGGACCCAGAGGGACCUGGAACGCAUGGAGAACAUCCGAUUCUGCCGCCAGUACCUGGUGUUCCAUGAUGCGGACUCAGUGGUGUUUGCAGGGCCUGCAGGCAACAGUGUGGAGACCCGGGGCGAGCUGCUGAGCAGAGAAUCUCCUUCAGGCACCAUGAAAGCUGUGCUGCGCAAGGCUGGAGGGCCGGGCGCUGGGGAGGAGAAGCAGUUUUUGGAGGUUUGGGAGAAGAACCGGAAGCUCAAGAGCUUCAACCUGUCAGCGCUGGAGAAACAUGGGCUGGUUUAUGAGGAUGACUGCUUUGGCUGCCUGUCCUGGUCGCACUCGGAGACACACUUAUUAUACGUGGCAGAGAAGAAGCGCCCCAAGGCUGAGUCCUUCUUUCAGACCAAAGCCUUGGACGUCAGUGGCAGCGAUGACGAGGUGGCCAGGCUGAAGAAGCCCGACCAGGCCAUUAAGGGGGAUCAAUUUUUAUUUUACGAAGAUUGGGGAGAAAACUUGGUUUCCAAAAGCACUCCUGUACUCUGUGUGCUGGAUGUCGAGAGUGGCAACAUCUCUGUGCUUGAGGGGGUCCCUGAGAGUGUGUCCCCUGGACAGGCAUUCUGGGCCCCUGGAGACACAGGUGUUGUGUUUGUGGGCUGGUGGCAUGAGCCCUUCCGGCUGGGCAUCCGCUUCUGCACCAAUCGAAGGUCAGCCCUGUACUAUGUAGACCUCAUCGGGGGGAAGUGUGAGCUCCUCUCGGAUGACUCUCUGGCUGUCUCUUCUCCCCGGCUGAGCCCAGACCAAUGUCGCAUCGUCUACCUGAGGUUCCCAUCUCUGGUCCCGCAUCAGCAGUGUGGGCAGUUGUGCCUGUAUGACUGGUAUACCAGGGUCACCUCCGUGGUGGUGGACGUUGUGCCUCGGCAGCUGGGAGAGAACUUCUCUGGGAUCUACUGCAGCCUUCUGCCUCCGGGAUGCUGGUCAGCUGACAGCCAGAGAGUGGUUUUUGACUCAGCUCAGCGCAGCCGGCAGGACCUGUUUGCUGUGGACACCCAGAUGGGCAGUGUGACCUCUCUGACGGCUGGGGGGUCAGGUGGAAGCUGGAAGCUGCUCACAAUUGACCGGGACCUCAUGGUGGCACAGUUCUCCACGCCCAGCCGACCCCCAUGCCUGAAAGUUGGGUUCCUGCCUCCUGAGGGGAAGGAGCAGGCGGUAUCAUGGGUGUCCCUGGAGGAGGCCGAGCCCAUUCCUGAAAUCUCCUGGAGCAUCCGGGUACUACAGCCGCCCCCAGAGCAAGAGCAUGUGCAGUAUGCUGGCCUUGACUUUGAAGCAAUCCUUCUGCAGCCCAGCAACCCUCCAGAUAAGACCCAGGUGCCCAUGGUGGUCAUGCCCCACGGGGGACCCCAUUCAUCCUUUGUCACUGCCUGGAUGCUGCUCCCAGCCAUGCUUUGCAAGAUGGGCUUUGCAGUACUACUAGUGAAUUAUCGUGGCUCCACGGGCUUUGGCCAGGACAGCAUCCUCUCCCUCCCCGGCAAUGUGGGCCACCAGGAUGUGAAGGACGUCCAGUUUGCAGUAGAGCAGGUGCUCCAGGAGGAACACUUUGAUGCAGGCCGUGUGGCCCUUAUGGGUGGUUCCCAUGGUGGCUUCCUGUCCUGCCACCUGAUUGGUCAGUACCCGGAGACCUACGGUGCCUGCGUGGUGCGGAACCCUGUGACCAACAUUGCCUCCAUGAUGGGCUCCACUGACAUCCCUGACUGGUGCGUGGUGGAGGCUGGCUUCCUCUACAGCAGCAACUGCCUGCCAGACCUCAACAUGUGGGGUGAGAUGCUGCACAAGUCGCCCAUCAAGUACACCCCUCAGGUGAAGACACCAGUGUUACUGAUGCUGGGCCAGGAGGACCGGCGUGUGCCCUUCAAGCAGGGCAUGGAGUAUUACCGUGCCCUCAAGGCCCGAAACGUGCCCGUUCGGCUCCUGCUCUAUCCCAAAAGCACCCAUGCACUAUCAGAGGUGGAGGUGGAAUCAGACAGCUUCAUGAAUGCUGCGCUCUGGCUGUGCACGCACUUGGGCAACUGAAGCCCUACCACUCUGUAUGAGCUGGGUGACAUAUGCCACACUUGGCUCUUGGAGAGCCCCAGGGUCUGGCAGAGCGGCAAGAGGCUUCCUGGGCUCUGGACUUCAUGGAUGGCCCCCAGGACCACUGGCUGCCCACGAGAGAUGAAAGAUGGCGUCCAAGGGGGCCGGCAUGGCUUUCUCCCGAAAGAGCCACAGGCUGACCUCAGAUGCUGAGAAAUCUAGGGU